UACGUAGGGUGCAAGCGUUGUCCGGAAUUAUUGGGCGUAAAGAGCUCGUAGGCGGUUUGUCGCGUCUGCUGUGAAAACUCGGGGCUUAACCCCGGGCCUGCAGUGGGUACGGGCAGACUAGAGUGCGGUAGGGGAGACUGGAAUUCCUGGUGUAGCGGUGAAAUGCGCAGAUAUCAGGAGGAACACCGUGGCGAAGGCGGGCUCUGG
rnacentral:rRNA from 1 species